ensembl:lncRNA PDE6B-AS1 PDE6B antisense RNA 1
CCCACCAGGCCCUGCCUCCUCACACUCGCGGCGGCCGCUGGGUCUUCUACCGCAUGGUGCCAGCUCCCUCUCCUCCGCUGCGGUGUCCUAGCCCAGCUCUCUCCCUGCCAGGCCCUCUGAAGUUCCACCCCCUGGCACUCAGCUCAUGGUGGGAACAGGACCAGGCUCUCCUGUUGCCAAGGGCAGUGAGAUGUUCGUAGCUUUAUUUCCCAGUACAUUGAUUUUACUGAUUUUAGUUUAUCUUCAGUUGAAUAAUUGUGUGUAUUGAUGGGGUUUAUGUUUUAUGGGGUUUGGCGUGAUGUUCUGAUGUAAGUAUUUGUUGCAGAAAGAUUCAAUUAAGCUAAUCAACAUAUCCAUCACCUCACCAACUUGUUUUUUUUGUGGUGAGAACAUUACAAGUCUAUUUUCUAG